ACUAAAUGGCUCAUCUAAAUGAACUCAUCCUGGGAUAAGCAGUGGACAUUUUUGUUGAUACUUAUGCCUCAGAAGGCUUCUCUCCACAUCCACCUGCUGAAGAUGGACUGAGUAUGGCAUACGAAUACAGCAAAGCUUAGUGGGUGUUGGAGCGUGGGGAGAGCUGGAGUCUCUUCCCCCAAAGGACAGCCUUCUACUCAUCUCCAGGCUACCCUUGUGCGAUGAAACCUUCUAGCUAACUCAUGGAGAGCUCUUCCGGAAGUGUGAGGUGAGGACACAGAGGCAGAUUCUAAUACUACUGGAUAAAAUAUUGAGCAAUGCUUGAUUGAGAAGACUUUUAAAGCUAUUAAGAAAGGCCUAUGAAGAGACAGACACCAACGCUGUAAUCUAUGCCACCAAUAGUAGCAUCUCUCCUAGAUAGGUGACACACAGUUUACAGAAGAUAGACUUCAUAGCAACUCCUGAAUGAAGUCAGGUGCUUUAGCAAGAUCAAGUUCCCCAGAAGCAGUGAGAAGCCAUAAUACAAGAAAUGAGUGUACUUCUAGGAAGAGCCAGAUAGACACCCACAACAGCAGCCCUUACCUGCAAUUUAUCAACAGCUUGAGACUGUUAGAUUGCAGUUCUCAAAAUGUUUUCAUUAUGCAAGCAAAUGACUUCUAAGAUAAUCUAAU